rfam:Nematostella vectensis strain CH2 x CH6 NEMVEscaffold_39_Cont6472, whole genome shotgun sequence.
GGCUCAGUGGUAUAGUGGUAUGGUUCUCGCUUUGGGUGCGAGAGGCCACGGGUUCGAUUCCCGUCUGAGCCC